rnacentral:rRNA from 1 species
UACAGAGGGGGCAAGCGUUAUUCGGAAUUAUUGGGCGUAAAGGGCGCGUAGGCGGCUUUGCAAGUGGCGGGUGAAAUCCCUCGGCUUAACCGAGGAACUGCCUGCCAGACUGUGAGGCUUGAGACCGGGAGAGGUGAGUGGAAUUCCCAGUGUAGCGGUGAAAUGCGUAGAUAUUGGGAAGAACACCUGAGGCGAAGGCGGGUUGCUGGGCCGACACUGACGCUGAUGCGCGAAAGCCAGGGGAGCGAACGGG